rnacentral:rRNA from 1 species
GACGAACGCUGGCGGCGUGCCUAAUACAUGCAAGUCGAACGCAGUUGCGAACGGGUGAGUAACGCGUAGGUCACUCCCUCAUGGCGGGGGAUAACUAUUGGCAACGAUAGCUAAUACCGCAUCCUGUGCGAUGGACCUGCGUUGUAUUAGCUUGUUUGUGCGGUAAAGGCUCACCAAGGCGCCGAUACAUAGCCGACCUGAGAGGGUGCUCGGCCACACUGGGACUGAGACACGGCACAGACUCCUACGGGAGGCAGCAGAAGUGAAUCUGCGGCAAUGGACGGAAGUCUGAUCGAGCAACGGUGCGUGAGUGAAGAAGGUUGCCGGAUCGGAAAGCUCUGUUGUGAGAGAAGCGGUAAUGAACCAGAAAGGGAGGGCUAACUACGUGCCAGCAGCCGCGGUAAUUC